GACGAACGCUGGCGGCGUGCUUAACACAUGCAAGUCGAACGAAGUGGCGAACGGGUGAGUAACGCGUAAUCAACCUGCCCUUCAGAGGGGGAAAACAGUUGGAAACGACUGCUAAUACCGCAUACUGAAGGAGGGGAUUGCGUCUGAUUAGCUAGUUGGAGGGGUAACGGCCCACCAAGGUGGUGAUCAGUAGCCUGGCUGAGGGGGUGAACGGCCAACGUGGGACUGAGACACGGCCCAAUCUCCUACGGGAGGCAGCCGUGGGGAAUCUUCCGCAAUGGAAGAAAGUCUGACGGGGCAACGGCGCGGGAUGGAUGACGGCCUUCGGGUUGUAAAGCUCUGUUAAUCGGGACGCGGUACCGGAAUAGAAAGCCACGGCUAACUACGUGCCAGCAGCCGCGGUAAUUC
rnacentral:rRNA from 1 species